UCGGGAAUUUUGGGCAAUGGGCGAAAGCCUGACCCAGCAACGCCGCGUGAAGGAUGAAGUAUUUCGGUAUGUAAACUUCGAAAGAAUAGGAAGAAUAAAUGACGGUACUAUUUAUAAGGUCCGGCUAACUACGUGCCAGCAGCCGCGGUAAUACGUAGGGACCAAGCGUUGUUCGGAUUUACUGGGCGUAAAGGGCGCGUAGGCGGUGUGUCAAGUCAGUUGUGAAAUCUCCGAGCUUAACUCGGAACGGUCAACUGAUACUGUCACACUAGAGUACAGAAGGGGCAAUCGGAAUUCUUGGUGUAGCGGUGAAAUGCGUAGAUAUCAAGAGGAACACCUGAGGUGAAGACGGGUUGCUGGGCUGACACUGACGCUGAGGCGCGAAAGCCAGGGGAGCAAACGGGAUUAGAUACCCCAGUAGUCCCUGAGCGGGCUGGCAAGGCGCAU
rnacentral:rRNA from 1 species